AAACCAAAAUGCCCGGCCCGAACUAGCCGCGCAUCCUUUUUUUUUUUUUUCUGUAGCUUUUGUUUUUCUGUCCCAGGACUGAAGCGGAGAAUUACAGCGCAGGGGAUGCUUUCCCUUACCUCGAUGGCGUCUUCUUCCAUAAGACUAAUUCAUCUUGUUGAUUGGCAUUUUCAAAUAUCUGAGCACGGACCACCUAAAGGUUACAUUGGACGAAAGCCAGGAAAAAGAAAGGUUGAAGUUUGUCCACGGAGGGCUAGCUUAUGGGAUUCAUUCAGAUCCGGUUUCUUGAAGAAUAAUAUAUCCCAAGUGAUUGAGCCCCCUUCAAGCGUAGCAGAGGAGGAAGAAGUGCCUCAGCAGCAAGAGGUGGUACUUCUUGAAAGGGCUCAAAGUGAUGGAACUUCUGAGAAAAUAAUAUUUUCUUCUGCCGCAGAUGUUGAUGUAUAUGAGCUACAGGCCUUAUGUGAUAAGGUUGGAUGGCCUCGUAGACCAUUAACGAAAGUGGUAGCAUCUUUGAGGAAUAGCUACAUGGUUGCUACCUUGCAUUCAAUAACUACAUCUCAUGAGGGAGAAGAGAGAAAACAACUCAUAGGCAUGGCUCGUGCCACAUCUGAUCAUGCCUUUAAUGCUACAAUUUGGGAUGUCCUCGUCGAUCCUUCCUAUCAGGGCCAGGGUCUUGGAAAGGCACUUGUUGAACAGAUAAUACGAGCAUUACUACGGCAGGAUAUCGGCAACAUCACAUUAUUUGCAGAUAACAAAGUUGUGGAUUUUUACAGAAAUUUGGGAUUUGAAGCUGAUCCUGAUGGCAUUAAGGGCAUGUUCUGGUAUCCAAGAUAGUGGUUAGCAACUUCUCUUUUUGAUGCUGCAGUUUGUAUGUGCUGUAAAAUGCUCUGCACCUUAUGACUAUUGAGAUCUAUCUGAUCAUGCCCAAGGGAUUGAGCAUACGGACCGAAGGAGAGAAAGAGGAAGAGAGAGGGAGAUGCAGGAGAGAAUGACUUCCCCUAUAUGGGCAAAUGGGUUAUUUCAUGAAUGUGUUCAUUAUCAGAGAGGGGAACCAAAAGCCACUAAUAAAUCAAAGAGUCUUAUUUAUAGAUGAUAGGAGGACAAAAAUAAAAUUAUAUUAUUGUCCUUGCUAAAGAGGGGGUAGUACU